CUGCGUACAAUAAACGUAUAACUGUGUAGAAUAAAAAUACAUUGUUACUAACAAGUCACAUGCCAGCCAUCACCAUGAUCACUUUUCUUGUACAUUGUAGAUUGUAAACUCUUUGGGACGGCCACUGUCUUCCUGAAUGUCUGUACAGCAUCCAGAACAUUUUCUAAGCUACUUACAAAAUAAGACCAAUUUCUGGGGGCUGGCCAGGAGUAAGUUGAAGAUCUCAUGAUGCUUUUCAAAAGAAAAAGGGGAUCAGCUUUUGGUGUCCUGGUCAAAAUUCCUUCUCUCAAUGAAACAUGUACUAACGUCCCAGCUUGUGUGGGAGCUAUUGCUGAGCAUGUAAAGGCUGACACAUAUGCCUACAUGCACUUAUGAGUAGGGUGACCAGAUGUCCCAAUUUUAUAGGGACAGUCCCAAUAUUCGGGGCUUUGUCUUAUAUAGGCACCUAUAACCCUGUCCUGAUUUUUCAUCUGGUCACCUUACUUAUGAGGAAGUGUCAUCUCAGAUAUUUGUUUCAGUUAAAUCAUUGAUUUCAUAGGUCUACCACUUGUGCUACAGUAUUAUUCCCAAGAAAUGACUGAUAGGACACAAGCAAGAGUAUUGAAAUGUCACACAGUACUAUUAAAAGAUACCUUGUUCAUUCCAUGAUAAAAUUUUAUCAAGCUCUAGAUAUAUCUAAGAACACAAUAAGGGAGAUGAUAAAAUCUGUAGUCACGGAUCUUCUUAUUUCCUUUGUGGCUUGUCACCAGCAGUCCCCUACACCUGCCACCCUCUCUAGUCCUCUAGACUUUUCCCUUUGCUCCACUGUGACUGCAGCAAGUACUUGGCAACAUACACUUGGCAGCAUCUUUUGGCAACCCUGCUCCCUCAAGUAUUUGACAGAGUGCUUCAGACUGAAUACCUUUAACUCCAUUCUACUUCGCUGAGCUCAAUGAUACCUUUCUAGAGGCCCUGGAGAGCAUUGCAUCAGACAGCGAAGAUGAAUUGAGCCCAUCUUAUUUUUGCUCAAUGCCGGUACAAGUUGCUGAUGAGGACGCUGAGGAUGACAGCUAUAUGGAUUUAAGGAGAACCCUUGGCAUAGAACUAACAGAGCCAGUGCUGUGUCAUGAGCGUAAAAAAAAUCAUGCAGUCUAUUGUAUGUGUUGCUGUUUAUGCUGUCCUUAAUCACUGCCUAAAGGAGAAGCUUUUCAAAGACUGUGAGGGCUGUGUCAUAGACGCACCAGGCCAACGGCACCAUGACUGUAUGACUUGGACUUCAGAGGAUAUAAACUGCAAGUUCCAGGACCUGUGCGCUGACCUGUGUUUGGAAAGCUUAUUAAAUGCUGUUAUUGCCAUAGGUUAUGCUUUGCAAUGUCUGUACCUAACCCAAGAAAAUUUAGCACAAGGGGUGACCUUGGUAAAUGCUGUGAAAAGUGCUCGACACCCGACAGUGUUUUAAAGAAAAUGACCAAACCGGAGGAUACCCGCUUAGCGCAUUAUAUUGACCGUCUGGUCUGCACAGUUACCGAACCCUGCUUAAGAAAAAGUCUAUUUGUAAGAAAUCUAAAAGGAUUAAGUUAGAGAAUGGUGAGGGAACAAUCAUGCGAUAUAAAGCUUGGUAGCUGUAAAUAAAAAUAUCUAUUGAAAAAGGCUUUGUGACUAUCUGUGUUUCUGUUAGGUCUGUGUGGCCCUUAAAUAAGAUAAAAGUUUUGAUGGAGCAUUUUGGUUUGUUUUUAAGAGGCUGUAUGUCUUUUAAAUAAAAACAAAACAAAACAAUAGUUUGUGAGAACCCAGAUGAACUCGUGUCUUUGUGUAAACUCCUGAGGUUUUAUUUGAACUGUCCAAUAGCGUUUACAAACUCUUGGGGUUAUGUUUAAACUGUCCAAUAGCAUUCUACAAACUCCUGAGAUUUUAUUUAAUUUAGCAUUAAUCAGAGCUCACCAUCCCCACCCACCCAUCUUCCCUACUGUGGGUGUACAACCAUCAAACUUAAUUACUGAUCACUAACAUAUUUAACUCUGAUGGAAACAAAGGUGGAUAAUCAUAUCUAGACUUACACCUAUAGACUCAAGGCAGUAGAGUCAGUAGGGGUGUGGUUAAACCAUUCAGUUCAACAGGGUGAGUCAGCUCUAUUGUAUUCAAACACAUGUCUCAAACAUCCCUGUUUUAUACACAAUAUAGGAGCUUUUUUUUUUUUGUCUUUAAAAGCUUUUUUUGUUUGUUUUUUCUCAGGAUUCUACUACACACAUUUAAGGUUUUUGCUGUAAAUAAGGCUUUUUACACAAAGACACGAGAGCUGGGUUCUCACAAACUAUUUUUUGUUUUGUUUUUUGUUUAAAAGACAUACAGCCCCUUGAAAACAAACCAAGAUGCUCCAUCAAAACUUUUAUCUUAUUUAAGGGCCACACAGAUCUAUACUCUGGUAUAAUAUACUGGAAAAACUAACAGUGUAGUAUAUAAAAUAUGUUAAGUAGAAAUUAGACUUUGGCCUAAACUUAGCCUAAGUGUAGAGGAGUAUGGGAAAUUGAGAUUGCUAGUGUGGAAAAGUUACAGAUAAGUGGGAGACAGUAAGAUGCGAAAAUUGAAGUUAGCAAGGACAUGAGCCAAGGUUAUGUUGCCAUUACAUUAUGGUUAUAACUGGUUUAAACAAGGUUUUUAAUAGUGUUUUUGAGAAUUGUGAAUGUUUUAUUAAAUGCUAUCUAUAUUGAUAGUAUGGGAAGGACAUUGGUGUAGAUGUCAAUUUAAAUACAGUAAUGUGUAAUGUAAAGAGGCAAUAAGGAGUUAUCAGAAAUAUAAUUAUGGUAAGGCGUAGUUUAAUGUUAAUUAGUAUGAUAAUGGAUUAUAAAAGGAGUAGUUUUGUUAAUUUGGGAAGAGCUCCAACUAACAUCAGCAGGGUACCAUUAGGUUCCAGGAUUAUAAGGCUGUACUUCACUCUGCUGUCAACGGCUUUAUCACCCAUUGAUACAUUAUUUCAUCUUUGAGUGUAAGUAUAAUUGCAGUAUUGGGUAAGUGGUCAUGGCAUGCCUGUUUGCUUAACUAAUCAUUUUCCUUUUAAAUAAAGUUUCAUUUUUCUCAUUCAGAGUGUCACCUAGUGGUUCUCUACUAAAUAAUUUUUCUGUAACCAACCUAGAGGCUCAAAUCUGUAAACUAAAGCUUUGUCUACACUA